UCUUCAGUGAUGAUUUAAUACAGUGACUUUCGUUCUUCUGAGUCAAGUGAAGCCAAUUCUGUGCCUGAGAAGA